CUGACAGACUGAGACGCCGAUGCAGGAAAGCUCGAUGCUCGUGCGGAAGUGGCUCUGCCCAAAAUAUGGAUAAAUGAAGUCAAGAAAAAAGACAAAUUAAAAUGUAA
ensembl:processed_transcript ipp intracisternal A particle-promoted polypeptide